rnacentral:sRNA from 1 species
AUGAAGGUUUUCACAGGGCACUAGAUAUGUAUAAUUUGUUAACAUGUAUGUAUAGAUGACAAAGGUUGCCGAUGAGAUUUUAUGGCAUUAAAGAAUUCCAAGUACAUGUAUUACCAUCGAUCAUCAAAUCGCUUCUAACAAGUAAAUCGUCAAGUUUCUUUAGUACAGCGCUACAUGUAGCGAAAGAUUACGAGACAAUUCUGUAUCAGUUUCAUUGACAAUCUUCUGCUAAAGGCGGAAUUUAAUUUAGUGAUACACAUGUUGCCUAAGACAAUGUAACUAUCAGGAGUAGCAGUAUUUAGCGGAACAUGUAUUACACAUUAUAUAGGUCUUUUAUUGUUAAGUUUUGCUGUAAUAGGUAAUAUGCCUAUCUACCAUGGAAUUGUUUGAAUUCAUGGUGGCUCAAUUUUCAUGGUAUUCAUGGGUAGCCCUUUCCCACAAAUUGACAUCUUUGACAUGCAAAAAACAAAUUUGGAAGAGCACUUCUCUUACUGCAUGAAACUGAAAACCGAAUUAUCCAUGAAAUUACAUCUCCACGAAUAUGCAAAUAAGUGUAAAUAACCCACAAUCCAUGAAAAUUGGUCCCCACAAAUUUGAAUGAUUCCCCAGUAUCUGUUAUGCUGGUUCACUAGGCAGCUCUAACAAGGGGAGACAAUGAAAAACCUUGUCAAAUUGUAGUCGAGUUUUAUUACAUAUAGCUGUUUAAUUGAAGAUUUAUUCAAAGAGAAAAAUUUUCCAACAUGUAUGUGUACUUCUUAGUGAAUAAUAUGAUCUGUUAUUGCAUAAAUUAUGAAUUGUAAUACGUGUAGUCUGACAAGAUAAUUAUAGCCUGGUAAUUUUCCGUCUGGUAAAAUGAGUAUUGAAUGUCAUAUUGCCAGGUCUGGCAACAAGUUACGAGUGUACAUGUAAUUAUAACCGUAUGAACUCACAAAUGUUUCACCUGUAUUGCGUUAUAUAUGUUGCAAUCCAUGAGCAUUCCACUUUCUGAAUGAAGAAGAUUCAUUCUGUUAUAUAUUAUACUCAUUCAGUGGUUAUACAGUCACAUACAUGUAUAGAUUAUAAGCAAGUAAAAUCACCCCUUAGUUGUGAUGAGUGGUACAUUUUUUAAGAAAAAAUGUUAUGUGAGAAAUGUGCAAUUUUUUGUUUUAUCAAAUAUACCCUGAUAAAUAUAGAUUAUUAAAAUGAAAAAAAUUAAAACAAUUGAAACAAACU